GAUGAACGCUGGCGGCGUGCCUAAUACAUGCAAGUCGAGCGAACGGACGAGAAGCUUGCUUCUCUGAUGUUAGCGGCGGACGGGUGAGUAACACGUGGAUAACCUACCUAUAAGACUGGGAUAACUUCGGGAAACCGGAGCUAAUACCGGAUAAUAUUUUGAACCGCAUGGUUCAAAAGUGCAAGACGGCUUUGCUGUCACUUAUAGAUGGAUCCGCGCUGCAUUAGCUAGUUGGUAAGGUAACGGCUUACCAAGGCAACGAUGCAUAGCCGACCUGAGAGGAUGAUCGGCCACACUGGAACUGAGACACGGUCCAGACUCCUACGGGAGGCAGCAGUAGGGAAUCUUCCGCAAUGGGCGAAAGCCUGACGGAGCAACGCCGCGUGAGUGAUGAAGGUCUUCGGAUCGUAAAACUCUGUUAUUAGGGAAGAACAUAUGUGUAAGUAACUGUGCACAUCUUGACGGUACCUAAUCAGAAAGCCACGGCUAACUACGUG
rnacentral:rRNA from 1 species